rnacentral:piRNA from 1 species
UCCAGCUCCAGAGCUUUCUCCUGGGAUUGU